UACGAAGGGGGCUAGCGUUGCUCGGAAUCACUGGGCGUAAAGGGUGCGUAGGCGGGUUCUUAAGUCAGAGGUGAAAUCCUGGAGCUCAACUCCAGAACUGCCUUUGAUACUGAGAGUCUUGAGUAUGACAGAGGUGAGUGGAACUGCGAGUGUAGAGGUGAAAUUCGUAGAUAUUCGCAAGAACACCAGUGGCGAAGGCGGCUCACUGGGUCAUUACUGACGCUGAGGCACGAGAGCGUGGGGAGCAAACAGG
rnacentral:rRNA from 1 species